rnacentral:rRNA from 1 species
AGCAGCCGCGGUAAUUCCAGCUCCAAUAGCGUAUAUUAAAGUUGUUGCAGUUAAAAAGCUCGUAGUUGAAUUUCGGGAUUGACGUGAUGGUCAUGCCUUAAGGGGUAUGAACUGUUGCAGUUGAUUUCUCACCUUCUGGAAAAACUUGAUGUCCUUUAUUGGGUGUCUUGCGGAACCAGGACCUUUACCUUGAAAAAAUUAGAGUGUUUAAAGCAGGCAUUUUUGCUCGAAUACAUUAGCAUGGAAUAAUAGAAUAGGACGGCAUGGUUCUAUUUUGUUGGUUUCUAGGAUCACCGUAAUGAUUAAUAGGGAUAGUUGGGGGCAUUAGUAUUCAAUUGUCAGAGGUGAAAUUCUUGGAUUUAUUGAAGACUAACUACUGCGAAAGCAUUUGCCAAGGAUGUUUUCAAUUAAUAAAGAACGAAAGUUAAGGGGAUACGAAGACGAUCAGAUACCGUCGUAAUCUUAACCAUAAAACUAUAGCCGACUAGGGAUCGGAUGAUGUUAAUUUUAUAAUGACUCA